rnacentral:rRNA from 1 species
UCGGGAAUUUUGCCCAAUGGGGGAAACCCUGAGGCAGCAACGCCGCGUGAGGGGAUGAAGGCCUUCGGGUUGUAAACCUCUUUCUCAGGGACGAUGAUGACGGUACCUGAGGAAUAAGCCACGGCUAACUACGUGCCAGCAGCCGCGGUAAUACGUAGGUGGCAAGCGUUGUCCGGAUUUACUGGGCGUAAAGAGCGCGCAGGCGGCCGAGUCAGUCGAAUGUGAAAGCCCCCGGCUCAACUGGGGAAGGUCAUUCGAUACUGCUCGGCUUGAAGAUAGGAGAGGGAAGCGGAAUUUCAGGUGUAGUGGUGAAAUGCGUAGAUAUCUGAAGGAACACCAGUGGCGAAGGCGGCUUUCUGGCCUAUUCUUGACGCUGAGGCGCGAAAGCUAGGGGAGCGGAACGGGAUUAGAUACCCCGGUAGUCCUAGCUGUAAACGAUGAACACUAGAUGUUGGUGGUAUCAA